AGUUUUCACUUUCCUGUCCCUGUUAAAUGGAAUGCAAAGUGAUCUGCAUUAAAAUUUAGCUUAUUUAAAAAUAGCUUUAGCCUCCCUCAGCAAUCCUUGAUCUUGCCUAUCGUAAGGUCUCAGAAAUACCUAGCUUUUCUUUUGUAUCAGUGCAGGUAAAAGUUGAGUGUAAAUUCCCAAUGCUAUUCAGCUGUUCCUUCCAGGAAUCCAAGACCCUUUCUAAUCUGGCUCAGUUGGGUAAUCUUGGCUCUGACUGCUGACAAAAUUGCUAAAUUGUGAGGAACAGCUGUGAGAGACUAUAAAAAAGAGCCAGAGUUAGGGGAAGAAAAAAAUAAAAAAAACAGAAUUGCAGGCUGAGAUUGGGUUUAUUCUAGUUUUAGGAUUAAAAAGCAAAAAUACUAACAUGCAAAUAAUUAAAAUCUCAACUGAAAACACUAGGGACUUAAUAGGACAUAGUUACACAGCAGUAGUAAGGCUGUGUUGUUGCAAACAGUGAAAUAAAUGAAUGCCUGUCCCAAGACAGUAUCUACAGAAAUUGCUGUUUAUGAACCUGCUGUAAACACUUAUGUGAUUCAAGCCUCUUAAAGGACAGUAAAUUACGUAUGAAAAUUUCAUGGCUGAAUAAGUGGCAGUAACAUGGCACUCAUUCUGGAUGCACACAUCAAAGAAAGACAAAAGUUGGAACUUUUAAGAUGGAAAUUAGUGGGUUCUGUGCUUUGUCCUUCUGGAAACCUCAGAUCCAAAACGUCAGAAAUUGGGGGAGUAAUUGUGACUCACUUCUGUUUCUUGCCACAUGAAAAAAAAAGAACCAGUCCCAAGGUCUACCAACUAACUGGUCAAGUAAUUAUACAGUAAGCAAGGGUAUUUGAACCUAUUAUGAAUACAAGGUGAAAAGAAUCCGAUGGCCAUGAAACUGCUCCUUUAUUACUAAACUGGAAUGAAAGGAGAUAGAGCAUUUUGCACAUCUGCUCCCAAAAUCCGGGUGGCCUGACGAGAAGAGCUUAAAAAUGUGCUAGGCUUUAAUUAAUUAUGAAGAAUGUUGGUUCUUGCUUAGUGCUUGUUGUAUGGCUCUACAGAUACCAAAGCUUUUUAGUUAAAAAGGAAGAUCAGAAAAAAGCCUGUUGCUGAGAACAGAACGGACACUCCAUAAAAAUAAGGGUUGAUCAGAAGUGUCAUAAAGGUUUGAGUUUGUGGAUGUGUGAUCACCCCUCCCCCCUAAAAUGGAAGUUAAAGGCAAGCGCUUGCAAUUAUGGUAGGCCAGG
rnacentral:lncRNA from 1 species